AAGUCGUAACAAGGUUUCUGUAGGUGAACCUGCGGAAGGAUCAUUAACACGUGAGCUUUCACGUAUUAACCAAACGCGCAAUGUUUUUUACCUGCUGUCGUUUCGAGUGAUGGGUGAGGGAAUGGUGUGAGAGGUUCGCCUCUCUAACUCACUUGUCUGGUUGUCCUUGAGGCAACGCUUGAGCGGCUGCAGCGGACGAAUUUCUUCUGUUAGCCUGCACCUUGGCUUGCAGUUGGAGUAACACUAUUAACCACUUUUUUUCUUACUGAUUACGUGCACUCUUUUGAAUUCCCGGCUUCGGCUGGUUGAGUUUGACUGAAUGUAACAUUUAUAAAUACGAAACAACUCUUAGCAACGGAUAUCUUGGUUCUC
rnacentral:misc_RNA from 1 species